rnacentral:lncRNA from 1 species
GGAAAACUGAAAAAUCACUGUCUUUAAGUACAAGAGAAAAAUGGAAAUGCAUAAAUAUUGAAAGGUUUUACAAUUUGAAAUGUUCUUUGUGGUUUUUUCUUUUUUAGGUAUGUUUUCAUAAGCAUAUAUAAAUUUAAACAUUUUUGAUAGCCUCUGGCCUUAACUUACUGAGCAUGUGUCACCAUUGCACAGCUCUUUAAACAGCCGCUUUUAAGAUCAAUGCAAUUUUUCUUUUAAUUGAAGAUUUUGAAAGAUUAAGAGUUAGUGAGAUGAGCUCUCUGCCUCUUUUAGUAGAAUUGAAUAGUCUGGAUUGUGGAUAUUAUUUCUCUCCGCCCUUUUGUAACCCUCUUUGGCUAAUGUCCUCUGUUCAUCCACGUAUUAGCCAAGUGCCAGUAACCCUGCUUUACAUUGGGAUUUCUACUCCUGGAAUGUAGGUUGAGAACCCCAGAGGGCUUCUUUUUGUUAAAUACUUUUAGUAUUCUUAAUAUGUAAUCUAAUCCAAUUAAAGUGCAG